rnacentral:rRNA from 1 species
CCCUUAGACGUUCUGGGCCGCACGCGCGCUACACUGACCAGUGCAACAAGCAUCCGUCCUUGGCCGACAGGCCCGGGCAAUCUUUGAACGCUGGUCGUGAUGGGGAUAGACUUUUGCAAUUUUUGGUCUUCAACGAGGAAUUCCUAGUAAACGCAAGUCAUCAACUUGCAUUGAUUACGUCCCUGCCCUUUGUACACACCGCCCGUCGCACCUACCGAUUGAAUGACUCGGUGAAAAAUUGGGACUGUGAUUGAAAUUGCUUCAUUGCGAAUUUAAUUAUGGAAACUUUCUUUAACCUAGGCAUUUAGAGGAAGGUGAAGUCGUAACA